rnacentral:rRNA from 1 species
CAGCACCUCAAGUGGUCAGGAUGAUUAUUGGGCCUAAAGCAUCCGUAGCCGGCGCUGUAAGUUUUCGGUUAAAUCUGUACGCUCAACGUACAGGCUGCCGGGAAUACUGCAGAGCUAGGGAGUGGGAGAGGUAGACGGUACUCGGUAGGAAGGGGUAAAAUCCUUUGAUCUAUUGAUGACCACCUGUGGCGAAGGCGGUCUACCAGAACACGUCCGACGGUGAGUGAUGAAAGCUGGGGGAGCAAACCGGAUUAGAUACCCGAGUAGUCC